rnacentral:rRNA from 1 species
GGUAUGGGAUGAGCUUGCGUCCGAUUAGCUAGUUGGCGGGGCAACGGCCCACCAAGGCGACGAUCGGUAGCCGGCCUGAGAGGGUGAUCGGCCACAUUGGGACUGAGAUACGGCCCAGACUCCUACGGGAGGCAGCAGUAGGGAAUAUUGCACAAUGGGGGAAACCCUGAUGCAGCAACGCCACGUGUGGGAAGAAGCAUUUCGGUGUGUAAACCACUGUCGCGAGGGAAUAAGGCAUUUUUUCGGAGAUGUUGAAUGUACCUCGAGAGGAAGCACCGGCAAACUUCGUGCCAGCAGCCGCGGUAAUACGAGGGGUGCAAGCGUUGUUCGGAAUCACUGGGCGUAAAGGGAGCGCAGGCGGAAGCUCAAGCGGAUUGUACAAUACCGGGGCCCAACCCCGGACCUGCAGUCCGAACUGGGUUUCUUGGAUAGUUCAGGGGCAGGC